rnacentral:rRNA from 1 species
GACGAACGCUGGCGGCGUGCUUAACACAUGCAAGUCGAACGGAAAGGCCCUGCUUUUGUGGGGUGCUCGAGUGGCGAACGGGUGAGUAACACGUGAGUAACCUGCCCUUGACUUUGGGAUAACUUCAGGAAACUGGGGCUAAUACCGGAUAGGAGCUCCUGCUGCAUGGUGGGGGUUGGAAAGUUUCGGCGGUUGGGGAUGGACUCGCGGCUUAUCAGCUUGUUGGUGGGGUAGUGGCUUACCAAGGCUUUGACGGGUAGCCGGCCUGAGAGGGUGACCGGCCGCAUUGGGACUGAGAUACGGACCAGACUCCUACGGGAGGCAGCAGUGGGGAAUAUUGCACAAUGGGCGGAAGCCUGAUGCAGCAACGCCGCGUGCGGGAUGACGGCCUUCGGGUUGUAAACCGCUUUCGCCUGUGACGAAGCGUGAGUGACGGUAAUGGGUAAAGAAGCACCGGCUAACUACGUG